CUCUCUCCGAACACUCAGUCCACUCUCAAGAUCUCUCUCUAUCUCUCGCUUCAUAAAUCGGAGUUGUGCAGUCAGUAACCAAAUCCAAAUCUUUUCCAGAUUUGGUCUCCAAGAAUUUCAGGUGCCCCCAAGAGGAAAGUUUAGAGACCAAGGUUUACUGCUAUGAACUCGCGACCAUGAAAUAGUUGCGAUUACUCUGCACCAACACUUGAUGAGGUAAGUUUGUUUUGAACAUUUGGACUUGGGGUUGUGGAUUGUCUCACUAACUCGAUUCAUUCCACCUUCGGUAACCUGCAUGUGAUGGAUGGGUUCAUUUGAUGGUGUUAAGGUGAUGAAACAGAUAUAGAGUUAAAUGAUAAAACAGAUGGAACUUAGAAUAUCCCCAUUGUUGGGUAAAGGCACAAAGAACAUGGGUAAAGAGUAGCUUGAAGCAAAGAUUCCAGUUUCUUCAAGCAUUUGUAUUAAAUAGUUGAAAUUUAUUAUUCCUAAAUUAAUAUAGAUGUGUCAUGCUAGAACUUUUUGUUUUGCGGAGUGCAGUUUUCUUCUAAAAGCUUAAACAGAUACAGAUACGCUAUAGCUCAGAUUAAACAUAUAGCUUUGUCCAAAAUAGAAGAAGAAAAGAUUCAAUUUAUAGCAUUGUUUAGUUGCCAUUGUCUUUUAUUACUGACUUUCUUGGCUUGAAUACUGUCUUUUACAGUGUUCUAUAUUACUGGUCAUGAGGAGAACAUUCUCAGUGAUGAUGCAAUAGCUGAAAAGCAGAUAACAUACAAUCUCAGUAAUGUAUAAUCAGUGUUUUUUUUUUUUCUGCAUAUGUUGGUACAAUUAAAUCAUGGGAUGGGAGAUUAAUAAUUGUUCUUUAAGUUUGAUGGGACUUGGUUGCUUCUUUUCUAUAAUCCUUCAGCUUUGUAAUCAUGUUCUCAGAUUUUUAAUUUACUUACACUUAUGCACAAACUCUGUCUAUUCACCACAACUUUAGCCGCAUUGCUGAUAGUAAAUCCCUUAUUAUUUCAGUAAGUUGUGAAAGGGAAGUAGCGGAAAUGUCCACAUUAAAUUCAUAAGCAUAUUGUCAAUUGAUGCAAAAUUGGAACCAAAAGGUGAACGUGCGACAUAUUUUUGACAAUUUUCAAUUCCGCAUGAAUACACUUAACCUUUCUAUUCUGUUUAUGAAUGAAUGCAGAAAACUAGCUUGCAAGGAUUUGGACUUGAUAUAGUCUGUCAAGAGAGGUGGUUAUAUGGAAAGAAAAAUGGUACUACUGUGCAGAAGCUAAUAUAAGAGUAUAAAGCUAUAUGCUCAAAAUCUACCAAUUAAGAGGGCACAGUUAAUGUUAAGAGUGCAGUUUGUAAUAGGUAUGAUCUUGAUUUGAUUGUUGAUUUGAUUGGAUGUGAG